rnacentral:rRNA from 1 species
UAAUGAGUGUAGAAUUAUCCUUAAUUAUUCAUAGGUAUAUUCUUUAAAAUUGAAGAAUUUGGCGGUAAUUUAGUCUUGUUAGAGGAACCUGUUUUUGAAUCGAUACACCACGUUAAAUCUUACUUAUCUUUGUUUAAGUUUAUAUACCGUCAUUAACAGAUAAUUUUUAAAAAAUUAAUUAUUAAGAUUUAAAUAAAUAAGUUAAAUUAGAUCAAGGUGUAGCUGAUGGAUAAGUUAAAAUGGGUUACAAUAAAAUUUAUUUAAAACGAAGCAAGUAUAAGAAAUUGAUCUUGUAGAAGGAGGAUUUAAUUGUAAUUAAAGUUUAAUAAACUAGAAAGAUAUAAGCUCUAAAUUAU